AUUGAACGCUGGCGGCAUGCCUUACACAUGCAAGUCGAACGGCAGCACGGGAGCAAUCCUGGUGGCGAGUGGCGAACGGGUGAGUAAUAUAUCGGAACGUGCCCGGUCGUGGGGAUAACGUAGCGAAAGCUACGCUAAUACCGCAUACGAUCUACGGAUGAAAGCGGGGGAUCGCAAGACCUCGCGCGAUUGGAGCGGCCGAUAUCAGAUUAGGUAGUUGGUGAGGUAAAGGCUCACCAAGCCGACGAUCUGUAGCUGGUCUGAGAGGACGACCAGCCACACUGGGACUGAGACACGGCCCAGACUCCUACGGGAGGCAGCAGUGGGGAAUUUUGGACAAUGGGCGCAAGCCUGAUCCAGCAAUGCCGCGUGCAGGAUGAAGGCCUUCGGGUUGU
rnacentral:rRNA from 1 species